GAUGAACGCUGGCGGCGUGCCUAAUACAUGCAAGUCGAGCGAACGGACGAGAGGCUUGCUUCUCUGAUGUUAGCGGCGGACGGGUGAGUAACACGUGGAUAACCUACCUAUAAGACUGGGAUAACUUCGGGAAACCGGAGCUAAUACCGGAUAAUAUUUUGAACCGCAUGGUUCAAAAGUGAAAGACGGUCUUGCUGUCACUUAUAGAUGGAUCCGCGCUGCAUUAGCUAGUUGGUAAGGUAACGGCUUACCAAGGCAACGAUGCAUAGCCGACCUGAGAGGGUGAUCGGCCACACGGGAACUGAGACACGGUCAAGACUCCUACGGGAGGCAGCAGUAGGGAAUCUUCCGCAAUGGGCGAAAGCCUGACGGAGCAACGCCGCGUGAGUGAUGAAGGUCUUCGGAUCGGAAAACUCUGUUAUUAGGGAAGAACAUAUGUGUAAGUAACUGUGCACAUCUUGACGGUACCUAAUCAGAAAGCCACGGCUAACUACGUG
rnacentral:rRNA from 1 species